UGUGUUUAUUGUGGGGAAAAAAAGCCUAAGCAAAUCUCCCCAAUAGGUCAGAAUCUUAACAAGGAUAGUAACUCCCUUAACAUUCAGAUGCAGCAUUAACCACAUCCAUAAACUAAAUCUACAAACAGCAGAAAUAAUAAUAAAAAAGAUAUUUAUGGAGGCAAUGUAUGAGAGGUAAUAGUAAAGAGAAUCCCUUCCCGUUGUUGUCAGCCCCUGAGCUCUAUGAUUCUGAAUAGCUGACAGCCUUCCAACCUCAUAAAUUCCAAGAACUGCAGCCACUGGGAGCAGCACAGCCUCCGGCCCCUCUGUCCCUUGGGUUUCUUACAGAAAGGUAAAAUGACCAGCAUGCAUACAUUGUAAUGGGACAUAAGGUGAAGGAGGUCUUUUGCUUUCAUUCUAAAGCAGAAAGUGUCCCAGUAUUUAUGGGAAAUCACUAUUUCUGUGUGUGUUUUCAAGUUUUCAUGUAUUAAUGAGCGAAAUUAUCAGUGCGGCUAACUGGGCUGUCUCCAUGCUAUAUGGACAGUCUCCUUCUCAGACACUGGAAGCCAGAGGCUGAGCCAUGUGGGUGUUGUCAGACAGCAGCAACAGUUUCCGAAGGAAAACCUGGAGAAGACUCUAUAGCAGAGAACAAUAGAGUACUGGCAGAAGUAGAUGCAAAAUACUAACAAUGCUUUAUGUUCAAAUUAUCCCUUUUGUUCUUGAUUUCAAAGCCCUGAACACAGAAAUUCAAUCUCAAAUAUUUAUCUGCGGUCAGCAUCCUUGCCCCAUUUCACAGAAUGGGAGACAGGUGCAGAGAGUGAAAAGAGCAGCCCAUACCAGCAGCAGGGCUAUGAAGAGAACCUUUUUGCUCCCACCCAGGCUGUGGCCCAUCCUUCUGAGUUGGAGUCACAGCAAAGCCUCCGACUGGAACAGAAACAAAAUCAACUCAGCCUUUCCUCUUUCAGAGGGAGUCAGGGCUAAUAUCCAGCUGCUGGAAGUGAGAGGCCUUUGGAGGAAGAACUCUGAGAAGCAAGGCUCCCAUCUGCUCUUUGUGGACAUUUAAUAUCUCAGGGCGAUUUCUGCAGAGCAAAGUUUAUCCCAGGCUCUGGGCUGGAUGUUUCCUGCCUCACAGGCAUGCAGGGGCUGUGAGCUAUUGGUGUCCCUGGCCAUUACGCUUCCACCCCUGAAGAGACUCGAAUCAGAAGCAGAUCAAGUGGUUUCUGUAUGAUUAUGGCUUAGAAAUGAUGAGCGGCGGUAGAAACAUGAGAUAGGAUCAUCAUCUUUAAUCCUGCACCAGCGCCAGCACAUUGGUCAUUUGCUUGUAUGGAACGUCAGUUUCAGAGGGGGCGAUUCCAUUUAAGAAGGAUGUGGUGCUUUCCCAUCAGGCAGGUGAAAUUGACUUCCGUUGAUGAUA
rnacentral:lncRNA from 10 species